rnacentral:rRNA from 1 species
AGCUCAGCAUUGGGCUUAAAGCGUGCGCAGGCGGUUUUGUAAGACAGAGGUGAAAUCCCCGGGCUCAACCUGGGAACUGCCUUUGUGACUGCAAGGCUGGAGUGCGGCAGAGGGGGAUGGAAUUCCGCGUGUAGCAGUGAAAUGCGUAGAUAUGCGGAGGAACACCGAUGGCGAAGGCAAUCCCCUGGGCCUGCACUGACGCUCAUGCACGAAAGCGUGGGGAGCAAACA